rnacentral:rRNA from 1 species
CUACGGGUUGCACCAGUGAGGAAUAUUGGUCAAUGGGCGCAAGCCUGAACCAGCCAUCUCGCGUGCAGGAGGACUGCCCUAUGGGUUGUAAACUGCUUUUAUAUAGGAAGAAACCUACUUACGUGUAAGUAGCUGACGGUACUAUAAGAAUAAGGAUCGGCUAACUCCAUGCCAGCAGCCGCGGUAAUACGGAGGAUCCAAGCGUUAUCCGGAUUUAUUGGGUUUAAAGGGUGCGUAGGUGGUCUUAUAAGUCAGAAGUGAAAUCUUGCCGCUUAACGGUAAAACUGCUUUUGAAAACUGUAGGACUUGAAUAUGGGAGCAGCAGGCGGAAUGAGUAAUGUAGCGGUGAAAUGCAUAGAUAUUACUCAGAACACCGAUUGUGAAGACAGCUUGCUAUACCAUUAUUGACACUGAUGCACGAAAGCGUGGGUAUCGAACAGGAUUAGAUACCCGCGUAGUC